rnacentral:rRNA from 1 species
AUACGGAGGACGCGAGCGUUAUCCGGAUUCAUUGGGUUUAAAGGGUGCGCAGGCGGCCGUGCAAGUCAGCGGUGAGAGCCCGGGGCUCAACCCCGGAAGUGCCGUUGAUACUGCAUGGCUGGAAUGCGGUCGAGGCGGGCGGAACGUGGCGGGGAGCGGUGAGAUGCGGAGAUAUGCCACAGAACGCCGAUAGCGGAGGCAGCUCGCCAGGCCUGCAUGGACGCUCGGGCACGAAAGCGUGGGGAUCGAACAGGAUUAGAUACCCUGGUAGUCCACGCCGUAAACGAUGGGCGCUCGUCGUCGGCGGCAGACAGUCGGCGGCCAAGCGAAAGCGAUAAGCGCCCCACCUGGGGAGUACGGUCGCAAGGCUGAAACUCAAAUGAAUUGACGGGG